rnacentral:rRNA from 1 species
GAGAGUUUGAUCCUGGCUCAGGACGAACGCUGGCGGCGUGCUUAACACAUGCAAGUCGAACGGAAAGGCCCUGCUUUUGUGGGGUGCUCGAGUGGCGAACGGGUGAGUAACACGUGAGUAACCUGCCCUUGACUUUGGGAUAACUUCAGGAAACUGGGGCUAAUACCGGAUAGGAGCUCCUGCUGCAUGGUGGGGGUUGGAAAGUUUCGGCGGUUGGGGAUGGACUCGCGGCUUAUCAGCUUGUUGGUGGGGUAGUGGCUUACCAAGGCUUUGACGGGUAGCCGGCCUGAGAGGGUGACCGGCCACAUUGGGACUGAGAUACGGCCCAGACUCCUACGGGAGGCAGCAGUGGGGAAUAUUGCACAAUGGG